CUGGGGUAGUUCAUUACUUGAAUUAUAUAGACAGAUUAAGCAAAAUAAUAAUAAUUCAGGAAUCAGAAAAAGAUAACCAACAAUUGAAGCAUGUAUGAAUCAGAUCGAGCACUUACAUGAGGAAAGAAGCCGUUACGACAAGACCAAUAGCGAGCAUGAACACGGCUAGAGUUGGGUACAACGACUCAGGGACUGGGCUAGAGAUCGGUUUUGCUGAUUGAGACUUCCCAAAAUAAAUUCCGAAAAAAAUAAUCAAAAUCUAUAACAAACUCAAUGAAAUGAAACCAUGAUAAAACUAAAAACAAUGAAGUGAAGUUCAUACCAUUUCUGAAACCAAUAAUAAGGAGUCAGAUCUUCUCGACCGGACUCGUCUGUAGAUUACUCCGAAC
rnacentral:lncRNA from 1 species